GGUUAAGCGACUAAGCGUACACGGUGGAUGCCCUGGCAGUCAGAGGCGAUGAAGGGCGUGCUAAUCUGCGAUAAGCGCCGGUAAGGUGAUAUGAACCGUUAUAACCGGCGAUACCCGAAUGGGGAAACCCAGUGUGACUCGUCACACUAUCAUUAACUGAAUCCAUAGGUUAAUGAGGCGAACCGGGGGAACUGAAACAUCUAAGUACCCCGAGGAAAAGAAAUCAACCGAGAUUCCCCCAGUAGCGGCGAGCGAACGGGGAGGAGCCCAGAGCCUGAAUCAGCAUGUGUGUUAGUGGAAGCGUCUGGAAAGGCGCGCGAUACAGGGUGACAGCCCCGUACACAAAAGCGCAUGUGCUGUGAGCUCGAUGAGUAGGGCGGGACACGUGGUAUCCUGUCUGAAUAUGGGGGGACCAUCCUCCAAGGCUAAAUACUCCUGACUGACCGAUAGUGAACCAGUACCGUGAGGGAAAGGCGAAAAGAACCCCGGCGAGGGGAGUGAAAAAGAACCUGAAACCGUGUACGUACAAGCAGUGGGAGCACCCUUUGGGGUGUGACUGCGUACCUUUUGUAUAAUGGGUCAGCGACUUAUAUUCUGUAGCAAGGUUAACCGUAUAGGGGAGCCGUAGGGAAACCGAGUCUUAACCGGGCGUUAAGUUGCAGGGUAUAGACCCGAAACCCGGUGAUCUAGCCAUGGGCAGGUUGAAGGUUGGGUAACACUAACUGGAGGACCGAACCGACUAAUGUUGAAAAAUUAGCGGAUGACCUGUGGCUGGGGGUGAAAGGCCAAUCAAACCGGGAGAUAGCUGGUUCUCCCCGAAAGCUAUUUAGGUAGCGCCUCGUGAAUUCAUCUCCGGGGGUAGAGCACUGUUUCGGCUAGGGGGCCAUCCCGGCUUACCAACCCGAUGCAAACUGCGAAUACCGGAGAAUGUUAUCACGGGAGACACACGGCGGGUGCUAACGUCCGUCGUGAAGAGGGAAACAACCCAGACCGCCAGCUAAGGUCCCAAAGUCAUGGUUAAGUGGGAAACGAUGUGGGAAGGCCCAGACAGCCAGGAUGUUGGCUUAGAAGCAGCCAUCAUUUAAAGAAAGCGUAAUAGCUCACUGGUCGAGUCGGCCUGCGCGGAAGAUGUAACGGGGCUAAACCAUGCACCGAAGCUGCGGCAGCGAACGUAUCACUUAAAGCGAUUCAGCGGGUUACGAUUGACGGAGCGAAGCGACGUCAAAGCGUAUACAAAGUCGAGUCGGUUUAAGGAUACGUUCGUUGGGUAGGGGAGCGUUCUGUAAGCCUGUGAAGGUGGCCUGUGAGGGUUGCUGGAGGUAUCAGAAGUGCGAAUGCUGACAUAAGUAACGAUAAAGCGGGUGAAAAGCCCGCUCGCCGGAAGACCAAGGGUUCCUGUCCAACGUUAAUCGGGGCAGGGUGAGUCGACCCCUAAGGCGAGGCCGAAAGGCGUAGUCGAUGGGAAACAGGUUAAUAUUCCUGUACUUGGUGUUACUGCGAAGGGGGGACGGAGAAGGCUAUGUUGGCCGGGCGACGGUUGUCCCGGUUUAAGCGUGUAGGUGUGUGUUCCAGGUAAAUCCGGUUCACUUUAACACUGAGGCGUGAUGACGAGGCACUACGGUGCUGAAGCAACAAAUGCCCUGCUUCCAGGAAAAGCCUCUAAGCAUCAGGUAACAUCAAAUCGUACCCCAAACCGACACAGGUGGUCAGGUAGAGAAUACCAAGGCGCUUGAGAGAACUCGGGUGAAGGAACUAGGCAAAAUGGUGCCGUAACUUCGGGAGAAGGCACGCUGACACGUAGGUGAAGUGAUUUACUCAUGGAGCUGAAGUCAGUCGAAGAUACCAGCUGGCUGCAACUGUUUAUUAAAAACACAGCACUGUGCAAACACGAAAGUGGACGUAUACGGUGUGACGCCUGCCCGGUGCCGGAAGGUUAAUUGAUGGGGUCAGCGCAAGCGAAGCUCCUGAUCGAAGCCCCGGUAAACGGCGGCCGUAACUAUAACGGUCCUAAGGUAGCGAAAUUCCUUGUCGGGUAAGUUCCGACCUGCACGAAUGGCGUAAUGAUGGCCAGGCUGUCUCCACCCGAGACUCAGUGAAAUUGAACUCGCUGUGAAGAUGCAGUGUACCCGCGGCAAGACGGAAAGACCCCGUGAACCUUUACUAUAGCUUGACACUGAACAUUGAGCCUUGAUGUGUAGGAUAGGUGGGAGGCUUUGAAGUGUGGACGCCAGUCUGCAUGGAGCCGACCUUGAAAUACCACCCUUUAAUGUUUGAUGUUCUAACGUGGACCCGUAAUCCGGGUUGCGGACAGUGUCUGGUGGGUAGUUUGACUGGGGCGGUCUCCUCCUAAAGAGUAACGGAGGAGCACGAAGGUUGGCUAAUCCUGGUCGGACAUCAGGAGGUUAGUGCAAUGGCAUAAGCCAGCUUGACUGCGAGCGUGACGGCGCGAGCAGGUGCGAAAGCAGGUCAUAGUGAUCCGGUGGUUCUGAAUGGAAGGGCCAUCGCUCAACGGAUAAAAGGUACUCCGGGGAUAACAGGCUGAUACCGCCCAAGAGUUCAUAUCGACGGCGGUGUUUGGCACCUCGAUGUCGGCUCAUCACAUCCUGGGGCUGAAGUAGGUCCCAAGGGUAUGGCUGUUCGCCAUUUAAAGUGGUACGCGAGCUGGGUUUAGAACGUCGUGAGACAGUUCGGUCCCUAUCUGCCGUGGGCGCUGGAGAACUGAGGGGGGCUGCUCCUAGUACGAGAGGACCGGAGUGGACGCAUCACUGGUGUUCGGGUUGUCAUGCCAAUGGCACUGCCCGGUAGCUAAAUGCGGAAGAGAUAAGUGCUGAAAGCAUCUAAGCACGAAACUUGCCCCGAGAUGAGUUCUCCCUGAGACUUAGAGUCUCCUGAAGGAACGUUGAAGACGACGACGUUGAUAGGCCGGGUGUGUAAGCGCAGCGAUGCGUUGAGCUAACCGGUACUAAUGAACCGUGAGGCUUAACCUU
rnacentral:rRNA from 1 species